GAUGAACGCUGGCGGCGUGCCUAAUACAUGCAAGUCGAGCGAACGGAUGAGAAGCUUGCUUCUCUGAUGUUAGCGGCGGACGGGUGAGUAACACGUGGAUAACCUACCUAUAAGACUGGGAUAACUUCGGGAAACCGGAGCUAAUACCGGAUAAUAUUUUGAACCGCAUGGUUCAAAAGUGAAAGACGGUCUUGCUGUCACUUAUAGAUGGAUCCGCGCUGCAUUAGCUAGUUGGUAAGGUAACGGCUUACCAAGGCAACGAUGCAUAGCCGACCUGAGAGGGUGAUCGGCCACACUGGAAGUGAGACACGGUCCAGACUCCUACGGGAGGCAGCAGUAGGGAAUCCUCCGCAAAGGGCGAAAGCCUGACGGAGCAACGCCGCGUGAGUGAUGAAGGUCUUCGGAUCGUAAAACUCUGUUAUUAGGGAAGAACAUAUGUGUAAGUAACUGUGCACAUCUUGACGGUACCUAAUCAGAAAGCCACGGCUAACUACGUG
rnacentral:rRNA from 1 species